CAGGUUCUCUCUCGACCCGUCUAGGCGAGUGCGGCCUGCACCUCGCCCUGGGAGCUGCUCUUGGGUCACUUGGCAGCCGCAGUCUUCAGGUGUGAGUGGAGUGCACGCCGGCCAGCCGGGUGUCUGUGACAGGAAGUUUACACUUGAAUCCGAGAAGGGAGAGAGAGGGAGAGAGCCUUGGUGGCUUCUGCUUCCUGACUUUUUGUUCAGGCUCCUGGAAAAGAUCAAAACAAUAGUUAAAUAGCAAUUGGAGACAAAUGAUGUAACAAAUAAACAACUCAACAACAAAAAUGUCCACAGGGAUGGUUUAAAAACCUUUUAUUAAGGAAAUCCAUGGCACACGUACAAAACAGAAUGAUAUUAUUCAGCAGGUUUCAAAUAUGAGGGUGUCUGAGAACUGUGGGGCAGAAUUUU
rnacentral:lncRNA from 1 species